UACGAAGGGGGCUAGCGUUGCUCGGAAUCACUGGGCGUAAAGCGCACGUAGGCGGAUUGUUAAGUCAGGGGUGAAAUCCUGGAGCUCAACUCCAGAACUGCCUUCGAUACUGGCGAUCUCGAGUUCGGGAGAGGUGAGUGGAACUGCGAGUGUAGAGGUGAAAUUCGUAGAUAUUCGCAAGAACACCAGUGGCGAAGGCGGCUCACUGGCCCGGUACUGACGCUGAGGUGCGAAAGCGUGGGGAGCAAACAGG
rnacentral:rRNA from 1 species